CCCAAAUUCCCAUUUUUUUUUGGGAUGUGCAGGAGUCGGAUCCCGAGUGUCGGAGCUCAGGGACCCCCCCGGAGCAGUGUCCCCCCCUGCCCUGCCCGGGGCUGUGGCGGCUCCUGGGGGACUGCGAGUCCUGCCUGGCCUUUGGGGGGGAGCCCCCCGAGACCCCCCCGGGCGGCGCCCCCAGACCCAGGUUCGGCUGGUGCGUGCAGAACGACACCUGCGUGCCCCUGGAGGAGCGCUCCCGCUGUCGGGUGGGGCAGAUUUCGGGGACCCACGGCUGGUGGGGACCCCGAGCUGAGUUCCUGACGGAGCUGGAGCAGUGUCGGAGCCGCGCCGUGCCACCGGGGCUGCACCUGCUCACCUUUCAGCACCCCAAAAACGAGUCCCAGCCCGAC